rnacentral:rRNA from 1 species
AUUGAACGCUGGCGGCAGGCCUAAUACAUGCAAGUCGAACGAGUGGCGGACGGGUGAGCAAUGUCUGGGACCCUGCCUGAUGGAGGGGGAUACCUACUGGAAACGGUAGCUAAUACUGCUUACCACAGUAUGUGGCGAGCUGGGAUUAGCUAGGAGGUGGGGUAAAGGCUCACCAAGGCGACGAUCCCUAGCUGGUCUGAGAGGAGGACCGGCCACACUGGAACUGAGACACGGUCCAGACUCCUACGGGAGGCAGCAGUGGGGAAUAUUGCACAAUGGGCGAAAGCCUGAUGCAGCCAUGCCGCGUGUAUGAAGAAGGCCUUCGGGUUGUAAAGUACUUUCAGCGGGGAGGCGUUACCCGCAGAAGAAGCACCGGCUAACUCCGUGCCAGCAGCCGCGGUAAUAC